rnacentral:rRNA from 1 species
AUGAAGUUCACUUAUGUGCUGGCUGUCUGGGAAUGGUCAGCACAUGAUGCUAACAUACUCACUGACAUCAGUCGCCCAGACGGCAUCAACAUCCCUGAUGACAAGUUCUACUUAGAAGAUGUUGGCUAUGCAUGUCGUCAAGGUGUUCUUUCACCCUUCAUGAAAACCUACCAUCUGAACAAGUUCUUUGGUAGGAACUAA